AUGCGUCCUAGCUGCUGGUUUUUUAUCUUUGUCUCCGCCUGGUGGUUGCCACUGAUGCUCGUGGCAGCAGCUGAGGAAGAACAAGUGGGAGGCUGCUUCGGCUCGGCGAAGAGAUGCGGCAACAUCACCAUCUCCCACCCAUUCUGGCUCACUAACAUGGGGGCGGAAAGAUCGUGCGGCAACUCCGACUUCGAGGUCACUUGCUUCAACGGCACUACUCCAGCUCUCCGGAGUUCUGUACCCUCCGGUCCUGGCUUCGCAAUCAUCGACAUCUCCUAUGAGGAACGCAACAUGCAUGUCAUCGACCUAGGCAAGCUGGAAUUGUUGCACACCUACAACAGCUGCCAAGUCCCAUUCUGGAACACCUCCAUCAAACUCGGCCUUCCGUUCAGGAUCGACCCAGUCAACCUAAACCUCAUCUUGUACUACUGCACAGAGGAGGCUGGAACAGCGGCCGCCCGUCAGGACCGGGCGCUGGUCGAGUUGAGAUGCAGCGACAAGAGAAACACAUUUGUUCGAGUAGGAGGGCUCUACAAUGGUUCAGAAAAGUACGAGGGGUACUCUCUGGAGGGGUGCAUCUCUGCCUUCCUGCCGGUUCUUGGGGUAUAUGGCGAGGCGAAUGCGAGCAGUUACGCGCGGCUCCUCAGCGAUGGCUUCCUCUUGAAAUGGCAACAACCGUCUGUUGCUGAGUAUUUAUCUUAUCAGGAAACUUGGAAUAAAGAUUCUUAA
rnacentral:rRNA from 1 species